GCGCUGGUGGUAUAAGGCGUAGCAUCGCUGCCCGGAUAACAGAAGAUGCGGGUUCGAGUCCUGCCUGGCGCA
rnacentral:tRNA from 1 species